UCUUUUCCAUAGCCUUUCGUUUCAGUUCUUUAUACCGAUUGUAAACUAUAAACUCCUUGAUGAGAACCGUUUCGGGAUCGCUAUCACGUUGUGCCGAUCGCUGUUUGGCUAAACGCUUCUUUUUCUUAUGCAGUGGUCGCGUUUCAACAAUCAUUUCCUCCAGUUCUAAACAGGGAUCACAAUUGAGGUGAUCCUCAGGUGGCUUGAAUGGUGGUUUAGUCGUUUUCUCGAGUAUACUCUUGAAGUCCGUGUGUCGUAGAAGUGGAGUUUGUUGUAUCUCCUGCUGAGAGCUAAUUCGUGCGCCGGGAUGUACACAGAGCAGCUGUAAAACAACAAAAUAAGCGUGUGUAGAAUUAUUACUAUUUACUCAAAUAUAAUAUCCUACCUUCGUCAGCAAGUCGAUGAAAUUAUGACUCCAAUAACGUGGAUAGUGCACCGGUGCUGUUAAUAUAUUUUUUACCUCCGCCAAACCCGUAUGCGAAUGCACGAUAAACGGUCGCACAUUGGCACGCAUUUCAUAUGCAACUACACCGAGGGACCACCAGUCGACCGGAAAACUGUAACCCGCUGGAAAUGUUUUUUUUUGAGAUUUAUUAAACCAAUCAAUGUACCGAGUGGGACUUACCUAUUUCCUCUAAUGCACACAUGAAUACCUCUGGCGCCAUAUACGGUUUGGUUCCAGACAUGCUGCAUGCAAGUCCGUCCUUUUGCAGUCUUGUAGCUAUAUUAAAAUCAGUCAAAUGUGCGUGUCCUACCAUUUAGAAAUAGAAAAAAAAGAGACACAGCAUGACGUUAUUACUGUUAAUUAAUUAAGGCACACAAUUAAUAUUGUAAAAACAAAGUCGAAAUAGAUUCGAGUUAACUAAAGUUCAGUUAUUAAUUUUUGUUUUCCAAAAGUUGUGAAACUGCAUUGAUAUUAAUUCUAUAGGCCACUUAGUGGCUCUUAUAUUUAUUAUAAUUUUGUAUUAUGUCAUUUCCCUUCCCGGGUUUGGGGCCUAGAUGGAGAAUAAGGCCAUUCCAUCUCAUCAAAUUUGAUUCGGACUGAUCCAAUUAAACUGUUAAUGACGAUAACACGGAAAAAGUUAAAUAAACAGUGUCUAAAAGUCGUCUUAUGAAUUGACCUAACCAUUUGGGUUAAUGCUGUGGGUAUGAAGCGUUCCAGUGCUAGACUCAUACCAAAGACUUUUUCAAAAAGGAUCUCGGGGUGAGGACGGAAAAGAGACAAAGUAGCUAUGAACCUUAACUGUCCGUAUUCGGAUAAAGUUUUAACAGAGAGUUGUUU